CAGUUCUACUUGCGUAAAGUCAUGAAUAGACUUUAUCUUAUCCCAAUGUACAUUUCAAAUUACGAAAUGUAAGAUCUUAAAUUGGAAGAUAUUUACAAACUUAUUCAGAAAUGACUUAUUAUUACUGCGAGGGGUGCUUAACUGCCACUGUUGUUUUUGGGAGUGUGACUUUAGGUUUUCAAAUCAUAAUACUAAUUUGCAUAUGCUGGAUAUGUUGUAGAAGAAAAACUCAACGAGACGGAAUAGUUAUUCAAUCUACGUCACAAAUGCAACCUGGGUCAAUUAUGAUGUCACAAGGUCAAAACUUUCAUCAAAACCAGUGUCAAGGUCAUUGUCAACAUACCAUAGCGGCGCCAUCUACAGUUCAGCAAGGUGUUAAUGAUUGCAGAUAUUAGGCACCACAAAACAUGUGUAACAUUUUUGCUAAAACAAUCUAAUUAGUUUCAUGUAAAUUGCAGAAAAUAUGCUGAAAUAAUCUGAAUGCAUAUUUUACAUGUAAUCAUUUACAAGAAUAAAUGUAUUAUAGUGAAACAGCCAAGUUUUCUUUUUUUUA